ensembl:lncRNA
UGAUCAUUAAAAAUGACUUCAGUGUAACCUAAUGUACUGUCAUAUUAAUAUAAUAUAAUAUAAAAAAUGCUAUAAAAUAAUAAAAGAAAUCUGUUGAAAAUAGCACCAAAUAUUGUCUUCAGUGUUGUUUUUGUUGAAAAUAAAUAGCAGCCUUAAAGCUGAAUUCACCCCCCUUCACCCCAAGUCCCCCCCACCUCACUCUGUCAGAUUAAUUCAAGUCAAAUGUGAUUAGUCUCUCUCUCUCUCUCACACACACACACACACUGCUGCACUUGUGAACACCCACUUUUUUCACCGUUUUUAACUACCCAGCGUUAGAGAUACAGUGAGUUUGCCUGCGUCUGCAGUUACUCUGAAGCCUAACGAAACGCUUGACCCAGGAACAAAGAGGCAAAACUGAACAAAAGUGUGGAGUGGAGCGGCGGUUGGGUUGUUUUUUGGCGGUGGAGGGUCCCACAUGCCUGUGCCCUGGCUGAACGCGGGGGAUCGUACAUGGUGAAUUUCAUUUGUUAGCUUCAGUCCUGCUCUGCCAAAUCUCA